rnacentral:rRNA from 1 species
AUGAGCUCGUCUUCGGGGGAACUCCGUCCGGAGAUGAUGGAGAGCGAGACGCCUCCAUCUGCUGCACCAUCAGAUAGGGCGGACGAGCCUGAAGUGUCAUCACGGAGGGUAUCCCUGAGUCCGGCAGGGCCGAAUAGUUCGGCACCAACUGGUGUGCGGCCGGGGGAGCUGAAGGAUCUGCUUGAGAGGGCGUCCAUCUCAGAAGGUCACCGUACACUGAUGAGUACGGUGAUUGAAAGAAUUUCAUCCGCCGAAGGCGGAUUGCGUGAUGCCGUCAGGAGUUUGCUGGUGGGGUUUGAGGUGGCGGAUAGUUCGGUGGCUAGCCGGACUGAUGGAGUUGCCGAACUAAAGCGGCAGCUCGACGUUGCGGAUGCGGACAUCGCGCUGGUCAAUAAACGACUUGACGAGUCACAAGAUGGUGCCGCUGCUGUGGAGAGCCUUCGGGCAGAACUUGCUCAAGCCAAGGAGCAAGCCAGAAGGAGUGACGCGGCUGCCUCGAGGGCGGCCGAAGAGCUAGAAGCCGAAAGGGCUGCACACUGCCGAAAUAGGGAGGAGAUGGCCGAAAUGGCCGUGAAGUUAAAAGAUGCUACCGACCGCAAUAAGGUUCUUGAAAAGCAGCGCCUAGCGGAGCGAGAAGACCUGGGGAAGGCCACCGCCGAAGCCAAGGAUGCCCGUUCUGCAAUGCGGGCUAUAAAGGAGGAGCUGCGCCAGGCCGGAGACAUUGUGGCUGGCAAGCCCUUUCUGCUGCGCCGAAGGUUUACAGAUCCAAAGUAUGCGCAGCUUGGCCAGCUGUGGGGUCCGAAGGAUCCUUAUAUGGACUUAGCGGCGAGUGCGGCAGAUGUCGUUGUGCACUUCCAAAGUCAGAAGGAUCACAAGACGGAAGAGCUGUUUUGGUCUCAAUUCCAUAGUCCGGAGCGUUCACUUCCGCUGACCGAUCGGCUGGGCCGAGUGGGCUGA